rnacentral:lncRNA from 14 species
GUAGCGGGAACGGGAGAGGGAGCUGGAGCUGCAGCCGGAGCCGGGCGCGUUCUGAAGGAUACAAUCUCACAUUGUCCUGGACUGGAGCAGUAAAGGAUAAAUCUGAUCACUGGCUGACUUGUCAUCUCUUUGUAGUGAUGGACAAAUGGUCGCCUAAAACAACCCUUUUGUUAUGCUGCUAAAACUACCUUUGAAUCCAAGAUCUGUUGUGAUU